rnacentral:sRNA from 1 species
AUCUGGUAUGAAAUAGACCUCUGCUAAGACUUUCUUCUCGCCGUUCUUACUCAUAAAAAG